UGGGGAAUUUUCCGCAAUGGGCGAAAGCCUGACGGAGCAAUGCCGCGUGGAGGAUGAAAGCCUGUGGGUCGUAAACUCCUUUUCUCAGAGAAGAAGAUCUGACGGUAUCUGAGGAAUAAGCAUCGGCUAACUCCGUGCCAGCAGCCGCGGUAAUACGGAGGAUGCAAGCGUUAUCCGGAAUGAUUGGGCGUAAAGCGUCUGUAGGUCGUUUCCUAAGUCUCCUGUCAAGAUCAAGGCUUAACCUUGAAAAGGCAGUGGAAACUGGGAGGCUUGAGUACGGUAGAGGCGGAGGGAAUUCCCGGUGUAGCGGUGAAAUGCGUAGAGAUCGGGAAGAACACCAAAGGCGAAAGCACUCUGCUGGGCCGAAACUGACACUGAGAGACGAAAGCGAGGGGAGCAAAAGGGAUUAGAUACCCCUGNAGU
rnacentral:rRNA from 1 species